rnacentral:rRNA from 1 species
AGCUCCAAUAGCGUACAUUAAAGUUGCUGCAGUUGAAAAGCUCGUGGUUGGAUUUGUGGCGUGGUCGUCCGGCGGGGAUCCUUCAUUGCGGCCGUUUGUCUGGCUUUUCGACCGCACCAUUCCCGGGUAGUGUGUCGCUGGCAUUAGGUUGUCGGCUUCUUCACGCCCGUCGUUUACUGUGAAAAAAUUAGAGUGUUCAAAGCAGGCUUAGGCCGUUGGGUACAUUAGCAUGGAAUAAUGAGAUAGGGCCACGACGGUCUAUUUUGUUGGUUUGCACGUUGUGGUAAUGAUUAACAGGAACGGUUGGGGGUAUUCGUAUUCAAUUGUCAGAGGUGAAGUUCUUGGAUUUAUGGAAGACGAACUACUGCGAAAGCAUUUACCAAGGAUGUUUUCA